AGGGUUCGAUUCUGGCUCAGAACGAACGCUGGCGGCAGGCCUAAGUCAUGCAAGUUGAACGGCUGUAGCAAUACAGCAGUAGCGGACGGGUGAGUAAUGUAUGGGAACGUAUCUUCUAGUGGGGAAUAUCUUUGGAAACGAAGAGCAAUACCGCAUGAGUCCUACGGGAGAAAGUCGCAAGACGCUAGAUGAGCGGCCCAUAUUGGAUUAGCUAGUUGGUUAGGUAAUGGCUGACCAAGGCAACGAUCCAUAGCUGGUCUAAGAGGACGAUCAGCCACAUUGGGACUGAGACACGGCCCAGACUCCUACGGGAGGCAGCAGUCAGGAAUAUUGGACAAUGGGGGCAACCCUGAUCCAAGCCAUGCCGCGUGAGUGUUAAGGUCUUCGGAUUGUAAAGCUCUUUUGUGUGGGAAAAUGAUGAUGGUACCACAAGAAUAAGCACCGGCUAACUUCGUGCCAGCCGCAGC
rnacentral:rRNA from 1 species